ACCCUUAUCCUUUGUUGCCAGCGGUUAGGCCGGGAACUCAAAGGAGACUGCCAGUGAUAAACUGGAGGAAGGUGGGGAUGACGUCAAGUCAUCAUGGCCCUUACGACCAGGGCUACACACGUGCUACAAUGGCGCAUACAAAGAGAAGCGACCUCGCGAGAGCAAGCGGACCUCAUAAAGUGCGUCGUAGUCCGGAUUGGAGUCUGCAACUCGACUCCAUGAAGUCGGAAUCGCUAGUAAUCGUGGAUCAGAAUGCCACGGUGAAUACGUUCCCGGGCCUUGUACACACCGCCCGUCACACCAUGGGAGUGGGUUGCAAAAGAAGUAGGUAGCUUAACCUUCGGGAGGGCGCUUACCACUUUGUGAUUCAUGACUGGGGUGAAGUCGUAACAAGGUAACCGUAGGGGAACCUGCGGUUGGAUCACCUCCUUACCUUAAAGAAGC
rnacentral:rRNA from 1 species